rnacentral:rRNA from 1 species
AUGGCGGAUCCGCCGGCGUCGUCCCCGGCCGACGAGGCGCGGGAUCCAGGUAGCUCAGAAGCUGCUCCUCAUGGGAGUAGUACGUCGCAAGACACGAAAGAGCAGGAAGACAUGAAAGGAGAAGCGGCUGUUGCGACCUCUGAACCCGUGAGGGAGGAACUGGUCCAGAGUGCCGUUAGUUUUCUGAGUCACCCCAAAGUCGUGGCAUCUUCCGAUGUCCAGAGGCGUUCCUUCCUGGAAAAUAAAGGGCUCACCAUGGACGAAAUUGAAGAAGCAUUUCGACGUUUACUUAGCCCACCUUCAAACUCUACAAACUCAAAUAUGUGUGAAUCUCAAGGAAGUCCUGAUCCUGAAACUUUAACCCCUGUGGUGCCCCGGCACCCAAAAUCAUAUAUGGAGGUCAUGGAAAUGAUACAGAGGGGAGAGCGGCCAGAUGAUAUCCAGGAUAUUAAUGAUGAGCCACCAAACCCUGAUCAGCCAAUCUCGAAACCCAGUAUGGCACCCAAGCCCAAGCCGUGGGAGAAGCAAGGCCAACAAAGUUCCGGCCUGGACCUGAAAGCUCACACAAGCAACCCCAGCGAAUCGUCGUCAGGAGUUCAAACCGAUGGCACCAGCCAGGCCACGGGAUCAAACAACAGCUCCGGUCACGGGAACUUGAUGCUGACGGCAGAGCCGGCUACAGGCUCUGAAGCCCCCGUGGAUGGCGUUGCCACCUCGCCAAAGCAGUAA